CUCCAGCAUUUUGUGUCGAUCUUCGGUGUAAACCAACAUCUGCAGUUCCUUCGUACACAAUAACAAGAGGUUAACUCGAACCUUUCCCUGUUCUAAUGAAUGGUUAUCAAUCUGAAACAUUAUCUGUUUCUCUCCCCACAGGUGCUGCCUGUCCUUCUGAGUACUAGCAGCUCCUGUGUUUUCACUUUAUGCUGUGACACCACUGUUCUUAUAAAAGUCCACAAUCUCGCCAAUGCCAAGUGAAACAACAAGUGCAAAGCUUCUUAUAUAGCAACGAAAAUGUCCAUCUGGUCAAUCAAAGAUUCAGGGAAGAAUUGUCCUCGCUCCACUACUGGGUCUGUAUUGAAAGAUGUUCUCCAAACUAAAGGAUCCUCAUCCAAUUGUAGAAUACCAGCCAACCAGAAUCUACCAUACAUACCAGGGAGAGAUGAUUGGGGUAGUCAGUCUGUGCAGGAGGUUUCUCUGUAGGAGAGGCUAGGACUCUGCGAGAAGAGGAGGCUGAGAGUAAUAGGCAUGAACACCACCCUAAAAUCCAAGUUUACUCAGACCAAAGUUUGCUUAUUACCCAUUUUCAUAGCAUGGAUUACCCAGCCUCUUCCUUUUGACCCAUGUUACCUGUAAAUUUCCAUUCAGAAUUCCUGCACUAAAAUCAAAUUUAAAAUGGAAUUUGCUCGAACUAAAAUCAAGUAACAAAAAUGGACAGCUUAUCCCAUUUUUCAAUGCAAUUAAUGGUGUUGAAUUUAUUGGAAUUUUGAAAAACAGCAAGAGCAACUCCACACUUUGCUACACUACAGUCCAUCUGCCAUUUCUCUGCCCACCCUCUCAACCUAUCCAAGUCCUUCUGCAGAGUCCCUGCUUUCUCUACACUACCUGCCCCUCCACCUAUUUUCGUAGCCACAAACGUGGCCACAAAGCCUGCAAUCCCCUCGUCCAAAUCAUUAACAGACAACGUGAAGGGUAGCGGUCCCAGCACCGAUCCUUGCGGAACUCUGCUAGUCACUGGCAGCCAACCAGAAAAAGCCCCCUUUAUUGCCACUCUUUGCCUUCUGCCAUCCAGCCAACCUGAUAUCCAUGCUAGUAUUUACCUUUUGAUACCAUUGGCUCUCAUCUUCCUUAGUAGCCUCCCAUGUGGCACCUUAUCAAAGGCUUUCUGAAAAUCUAGGUAAACAACAUCUACUGACCCUCCUUUAACUGUCCUGCCCUUUACUUCUUCAAAGAAUUCCAGCAAAUUUGUCAGGCACGACCUCACAUUCACAAAGCCAUGCUGACUUUGGCCUAUUUUAUCGUGAAUUUCGAAGUGCUCCGUAACCUCAUCCUUUAUAAUCUCUAUACCUAUAAAACUCUUGGAUGUUGGUGUAUUAUUUGUGUGUGUAUUUGUGUGUGCGUGUAUUUGUUCGUCUGCGUUUCACAUCCCCUUGAAAACACGACGUGCUAACGGUGAAAUUUUUACAUAUUCCGAUAGAGAUUUACGCCAUGAUGUCAAAAAUCGCCUCAUCUGAAAAUUUUAUGCAUUAUUUCCCGAGUUAUUUAUGAAAAUGUUCAAACAUUUCAAAUAACUUAGUAAAUAAGCGAGAUGGUCUCGCUGAUGACGUCACAAUGGAACUCCAUGCCUGCCGCUGCUCGCGCUGCGAGUGAUGUCACCCCUGUUCUGUCUUAUGUACUUCUUCGCUUCUUAACUUUCACUUCUUUAAAUUAGUGGCGUAGCAUUUUUAAACUGCUGCUCAGGUCGUGCUGCUCGCUCCGCUGGGCUCAUUUUAAUUCUAGAACUUUGCGGCGGCGGCUAUUAUCACCGCGCGGGUGAGGGUGAGGUUGCGGGACAGCGCGAUGGGAAGUUGAUCCUGGCGGCCAUUUCUCGCUCUGGGAGAGGCCGUCUAUGGGGACCUGCGAUUCCUCCGUCGAUCGCAGGGACUCGGGGAAUCGUGACGCCUUUUCCUCGCUGGUGAUCCCGAUCACACCUGGCCAUCACACCACGUCAUCGUCUGUCACGCGGUUGGGUAGGCUUCCCCUCGUGGAAGCCACGAUCAGCCGGCCCUCUGCUGCUUUUGACCGUCCUCAGAUCGCUCCGGGUCUCGCUUGGGUCUGCACCGGCCACAGCCUAGCUCGGGCCCAAUGACUCUGCUGCUCUAGGACCUGGGAUGGAUUAUUCUGUUGAAUCUUGCUUUGUGAGAAAGAUUGAGCUGUGGCAACCGAGGGAAUUGCAUAGGGGGCACGCAAGAGAUGGGCUCAGCAUAAAAUAUCUGCCGUCCUCUGGAACACAGAUUUAAUGAUUGGGUUGCCAAAUAAACUAAUCUGGAUUCAUCAGUCAGCCUGCUUCAUGUUCUCUUCUGGGAAUGUACUCUCUCUUGUUCUGAAGAUAUUGACCAUUUCUAGGGCACAGCAACCCUCCAUUACCUUCCCUGCUGGGUCAUUUCCAUUGAUGACUCAGAAAGCUAUGCAUUGCCUCACUACAAUUUAAUAAGAGGUGCGUAAUGGCAGAGAUCCAGCUCAUUGUGAGUUCCUGCAAAUAAGUAAUUUAUUUAUUUUCCGUAAGGAUGACUAGGCAUGUUGCAUUAAAAUAAACUGCUGAAUGAUCUUGUGAGUCAGGCAGCAUCAUUGAAGUGGACAGAUAAAGGGCCCUGAAGCAAAAUGUUGACCAUCCAUUUCCCUCCACAGAUAUUCCUGAUGCACUGAGUUUCUCCAACAUGUUGUCUUUUGCUCCAUAUUCCAGCAUUUGCUAUCUUUUGUGUCUUUAUACUACAAUACGUUCUUUCUUUGAUCCUCUUGGCACAUGUGUGACCUUAACUGGAAAGAUUGACUUAACUUUAUAUCUAGCUGUGCUGUAGCAUUUGAGUCUUGGUUCAAUAAUCUUUUCUUGCCACAUGUACCUAGGCACAUGUACAUGGUACAGGUACAUAGACCUGCACAUGUCCAUGGAUUUCUUCCAUAUAUUUAAACAAUAGACAAUAGACAAUAGGUGCAGGAGUAGACCAUUCGGCCCUUUGAGCCAGCACCAUCAUUCACUGUGAUCAUGGCUGAUCAUCCACAAUCAGUACCCCGUUCCGGCCUUCUCCCCAUAUCCCUUGACUCCACUAUCUUUUAGAGCUCUAUCUAACUCGCUCUUGAAAGCAUCCAGAGAAUCGGCCUCCAUUGCCUUCUGAGGCAGAGAAUUCCACAGAUUCACACCUCUUUGUAGGCAAAACACGCCUUCUUCAUGCACUAGCCCUGAGCCAUGUGAAUAUCGGAGGUCUAUCCUCCGAAAGCUCUAGGAGGAUUGUUGAGCAACUUGAUCAAAUAAUCCGUACUUCACCCUUGAGUUAGCAUCUCAAUCACUGGUCAGUCAUCAACGUUUUAUGUUGUUCAUAACAACUGUGGCAUAUGCCUGAUAAUUCAACGGAAAGAUUCAAUCCAGCAUGCCAAUUCUUUCUCGAAUCCAUCUGCUGUUUAUUCAGUAAAGCAAAAUAGUUUAGAAAAACGUUCUGAUCAAAAAUACAGAAUGAAUGGCCACACCUUCAAUCCAUCACUACUGUAUGUGUAUAAAAGACUUCAAUCCAAACUCUUUCCUGACAUAUCGCAGAACAUUACAUUAUCCCAAUCCACAUCUAUUCCUAUUAUAUGCAAUUGUAUUCCCAAUCCAAACAUUUAUUUUGUAAUGAUCAGCAGCUAAAUCAACAACAAAUAUGAAUUCAUGGUUGGUUGGUUCUGAGAAUUAAGAUUCCAUUAAAUAGCAGGCAGCACAAGAAUUCUAAUCAAUGUAGGCCACUGGGUAACUCGUUCCUAAUAUACCAAGGAACAGAAAUUCAAUGUACUUUGACCAGAGUUCAACACAGUAUAUUUGGGUAUGAUCCACUCAUCUGUUAGAUUUGCCAUGAUAUUUAUGUUUCAUUUGGCCUACUUGGAACUACCUCAGCAGAAAUAUUGCAUAAUAUAUGUCUAGUCUCCAAUCUUACUCCAUCAGCUUUGACUUGCUGGUGAGAGAUGAAUUGGAGGGAAGGGAAUGCAUGAGAGAUGGUAGGUAUUUAUAGUCCUUGAGGAAGGUCAACAAGUCACCCAUGACUGUUGGGCAGCCAGAUGGAUUGUCCAAACUUUUACAUCUUUGGAAAAGAGACUCUAAAGCCCCUGUUCCACUUUCACAACCUAAUUGGUGACCUCUGCUGAGUUUGCCCUUGACUCAUACCCGCAGCAUGGUCGCCACGAGGUCAUAGGAGGCUGUAGGAGGUAUUCGUAACUCGUCCUCCUGCUCGUGAGUGGGCUCCGCG